rnacentral:lncRNA from 1 species
UUUGGAACAUGCUGGUACUCAGCUUAAAAAAAACUUUAAAAUACAUUUGAUUUAUUAGCAUCUUAUUUCAACAAACUUUCAGAAUUAAAAAGAGAAUUUAAAGCAAGCCUUGAACCAGUCCUUAAUUGCAAUAACUAAGUCUACACUAUUGACUUAGUUAACUAGACAGUAAAAGAGUCACUACUUGCAAUUGAAAAAGCAGGAAAUUUUGAUUGUAAAAGCUUAUUAUAUGAAAGUCUAACAUUAUUCAGUGGUAUAUUAUUGGUGCUCAGUUACUGACAUUUGAAUUAAAUAUAAUUGAAUUAAAUUUCUAUUGAUUUUCUUUAGCUAUAACAAUUUGUCCAGUUUUAACAUAUUGAGUCCAUAUGAAUAUAAUGGACAAUGUCAAGAAAAAGUAUACCUAAUUUCACCAUCCUGGGUUCCAAGGC